rnacentral:rRNA from 1 species
GACGAACGCUGGCGGCGUGCUUAACACAUGCAAGUCGAACGGAAAGGCCCUGCUUUUGUGGGGUGCUCGAGUGGCGAACGGGUGAGUAACACGUGAGUAACCUGCCCUUGACUUUGGGAUAACUUCAGGAAACUGGGGCUAAUACCGGAUAGGAGCUCCUGCUGCAUGGUGGGGGUUGGAAAGUUUCGGCGGUUGGGGAUGGACUCGCGGCUUAUCAGCUUGUUGGUGGGGUAGUGGCUUACCAAGGCUUUGACGGGUAGCCGGCCUGAGAGGGUGACCGGCCACAUUGGGACUGAGAUACGGCCCAGACUCCUACGGGAGGCAGCAGUGGGGAAUAUUGCACAAUGGGCGGUAGCCUGAUGCAGCAACGCCGCGUGCGGGAUGACGGCCUUCGGGUUGUAAACCGCUUUCGCCUGUGACGAAGCGUGAGUGACGGUAAUGGGUAAAGAAGCACCGGCUAACUACGUA